GACGAACGCUGGCGGCGUGCUUAACACAUGCAAGUCGAACGGAAAGGCCCUGCUUGCAGGGUGCUCGAGUGGCGAACGGGUGAGUAACACGUGGGUGAUCUGCCCCUUACUUUGGGAUAAGCCUGGGAAACUGGGUCUAAUACUGGAUAGGACCAUGCUGUAAGUGGUGUGUUGGAAAGUUUAGUUUCGGUAAGGGAUGAGCUCGCGGCCUAUCAGCUUGUUGGUGGGGUAAUGGCCUACCAAGGCGUCGACGGGUAGCCGGCCUGAGAGGGUGGACGGCAACAUUGGGACUGCGAUACGGCGCAGACGCAUACGGGAGGCAGCAGUGGGGGAUAGUGCAAAAUGGGCGCAAGCCUGAUGCAGCGACGCCGCGUGGGGGAUGACGGCCUUCGGGUUGUAAACCACUUUCAGCCAUGACGAAGCCCUUGUGGUGACGGUAGUGGUAGAAGAAGCACCGGCUAACUACGUG
rnacentral:rRNA from 1 species